AGAAGAAGAAGGAGAAGAAGGAGGAGAAGAAGAAGAAGAAGAAGAGGAGGAGGAGGAAGAGGAGGAGGAGAAAUGUCUUUGUCCAAAGGCCCCUCUCUGAGAAACAAGAAAAAAUGAAUUUCAAACGACAAAGGAGGAGGAAUGCAGGCCAUGAGCCUCACUGUCAGAAGCUGUCAGAUCUGCGUCCCAGCUCCAGGGGACAACGUUAGCCCCAGGAAUCAGGAUUGCAUCGCCCGUGAGCACCUGAGGGGACCACCCAGCACGACGUCGGGCCUGUCCGGGCGGUGGUGCCCACUGCUGCCCCGCAGGCCCUAACCCGGUCUACCGCGGGUCCCCCCCACCCCGCACCUCUCCGGGGGCAGCCACACUCUUCGCCAUUGUGACCUCCUCCCGGUCACCCUGCAAGGAGGACUCUUCUGUAACAGAGUGUGGGGAGCGAACGUGUGGGAUUCCGCAACCCGUCUUCAUCUGCGUGCUUCCUACGGGAGCCAGCGGCAGUCGGCUCCACGCCGGCCGGCCGGGCGCAGCGCUCAGACACUCGGCCAGACGCCAUUCAGGGCGUCUCCGUGGGGGAGUCUCACGGAGUGGCAUUAGCAUUCCGAUCCGCGGCUCCGAGUGAAGCAGACGCCCUCCAGAACCCAGGCGGGCCUCUCCCGCCAGCUGGCGGCCUCAGCGGGACACAGAGGGGCCUCCCCUGCGCCAGGAGGAAACAGGAAUUCUGCCAGCAGGUGGUCCUCAGCUCAAACCGCAACGGCCGCUCUGCCCCGUCUCCAGUUUGCCCGCCUACCCCGCAGGCCUCGGACCUGCCAGCCUCCAUUCUCUCUAUCUCGCUGUCUCUGUCUCUGUCUUUGUCUCUCUCUGUCUCUAUCUCUCUCUGUUUCUGUCUCUAUCUC